GAGGGUAUAGCUAAAGUGGUAGAGCACAUGCUUAGCAUGCGUGAGGUCCUGGGUUUGAUUCCUAGCACCUCUA
rnacentral:tRNA from 1 species